AUUGAACGCUGGCGGCAGGCCUAACACAUGCCAGUCGAACGGUAACAGGAAGAAGCUUGCUUCUUUGCUGACGAGUGGCGGACGGGUGAGUAAUGUCUGGGAAACUGCCUGAUGGAGGGGGAUAACUACUGGAAACGGUAGCUAAUACCGCAUAACGUCGCAAGACCAAAGAGGGGGACCUUCGGGCCUCUUGCCCUCGGAUGUGCCCAGAUGGGAUUAGCUAGUAGGUGGGGUAACGGCUCACCUAGGCGACGAUCCCUAGCUGGUCUGAGAGGAUGACCAGCCACACUGGAACUGAGACACGGUCCAGACUCCUACGGGAGGCAGCAGUGGGGAAUAUUGCACAAUGGGCGCAAGCCUGAUGCAGCCAUGCCGCGUGUAUGAAGAAGGCCUUCGGGUUGUAAAGUACUUUCAGCGGGGAGGAAGGGAGUAAAGUUAAUACCUUUGCUCAUUGACGUUACCCGCAGAAGAAGCACCGGCUAACUCCGUG
rnacentral:rRNA from 1 species